UACGUAGGGGCCUAGCGUUGUCCGGAAUUAUUGGGCGUAAAGAGCUCGUAGGCGGUUCGGCAAGUCGGAUGUGAAAUCUCCACGCUUAACGUGGAGGGGCCAUUCGAAACAGCUGUGACUCGAGUCCGGUAGGGGAGUGUGGAAUUCCCGGUGUAGCGGUGAAAUGCGCAGAUAUCGGGAGGAACACCAGUAGCGAAGGCGGCACUCUGGGCCGGUACUGACGCUGAGGAGCGAAAGCGUGGGGAGCGAACAGG
rnacentral:rRNA from 1 species